AACUUUUAGCUACAUUUCUAGCAUGUGUAUGCCUGCACUUGACUUUAUCUGCAUUGACUUUUGCAGAUCUUUCUUUUGAAGACUUGAUCAGCCUGAACCUUCAGGAUGUAUGAAGAAAAUUCUAGCACAAGGAUUAAUGGCAGAAAACCUCCAGGACUGCACUUUGAUACUUAAUGAAUAUGCAAUUCCGUGCAUACAGAGAGGACAUUAACAGACUUUUCAACAAUCGUCAUCACUCCUCAGGAGACUGAAAAACAACUGUGCAAUUUUUUAAUGUAGAAAGAAAUGAAAGAAGAUCUGGAGUGGAGAAUAUCUAAUAUGAUAGACUGAACUAGAAAUAUCAAAAAGAGUCAUCUUCAGUGCAAGUUGCAGGAAGUAUACUCACUUGUAUUACAUUUUCCACAAAUUUUGAACAUUAUUUGAAUUCCAAGUUUCCUUAGCUCAUCUCUACAUAUUGAAAAAAUUCUGUACACAUGCAUCCUGAACAUGGAAAAAUGUAUCUUAAAUGCAUAAGCAACUCAAUGAAAUUAUUAGCAAUAAUUUUCCCCUUCACAAUUCCUCUUUGUGUUUUUAAUUCUGUGCUUUACCCUACCCUCUUCGCACUUGGAAAUCUUUGCACGAAGUUGUUUUCAGCACUUCUGGAAAUUUUACCUAUGCAUUUACUACUAUGUAUACAAUAUAUCUAUGUUCCUACAAUUAAAAUUUAUUUUC